rnacentral:rRNA from 1 species
CGCACCUUGCACCUUUUGGUAUUCCGAAAGGUAUGCCCGGUUGAGUAUUAUGAACAUCUCAAUCCUCUGGCUUCUGAUCGCAAAGGUCGCACGUUUGGCGAAGUCGUCUGUCGGGACGGCGGUAGCUGAAGUGCGACUUGGAAGCCUGUUGGACUUGGACUUGAGCGACACGUCGGUCCUCCACGAUCGACCCGCUUGAAAUGUAUUAGCUGGCGACCCGCCUUACGGUUCCACUCGGCGUAGUAAGUUCUAUUCGUCGAGGACGCCUCUUUCGAGGUGGCCGAAAGCGCGCGUUUGAAGCCGCUUCCAGUCGUCUUUGGACGCUUUGAAUCUUUAAUCUCAACUCGGGUAGGACUACCCGCUGAACUUAAGCAUAUCAAUAAGCGGAGGAAAAGAAACU